CAUCUGCUAGAUUUUUAUUAAAGUAACAAAAAAAGGUGUACAUUUGUCCAUAAACCUGUACAUUCUUCCAUAUAAAACACUAUUAUACAAUUAGUAACCUUUGUCUUUUCUAUCAGAAUAGCUUACAAACUACUAUUAUUUAUUUUUACUUAAUAGGAGAGACAGGCCUGCUCAACAGUCCAGCUCUGGGUGUUUUGUUGAUUUUAAAGUGAACAUCAAAAAGAAGAGAGAAAAGAUUAAGCAUGAGACUAUGAGGCUGCUUAUAAUCUGCAGUGAUUCACAGCUUUGUUUCAACCCACAGGCCAGAAAAUUAGCUCUUGGGUCUGUGGGCCCAAAGUUACCUUUAAAGCAAUAAAGACUGGAAACAGGGGCUGGGAUGGUAGCUGGGGAUCUGGAACGUUGAAGAGGCAGAACUGGCAGGAAUGGGUAGGGAAAGUGUUUGGUAAAUAGCACCUUUGAAUCAGAACUGAGUAGUUAAGAAAUCCAGGAAAGGGGACUGGCAGUGGGGAGGAAGUUUUCUCCACAAGGGGCAAUGGCAGGAGGGUAGCCAGGUUGACCAGAUGUUCUAGCUCCAUCCUUCUUGAGAUGGUCUUGGGUUUGCGAUACUCAAGGCCUUCUGAGGACCCCUCACUAAUACCACUGAAAACCUGAAGGAAGAGGAUUUCUUCCCAGUGUAGUUUUGCAUUUUUCUGCAACCCAAAACAGUAAAUAUUGCACAAGUCUACAGACAAAUUUGGAUUGUACUGAGAGACGGCAACAUCUCCCACAGGUGCUCUGAGCACGGGGAAGAAAAAAACAAUGCCCAAGGUUUGGCUUUUAGUGUCAGCCCUACAAAAAUACCAAGUAGUCCUGCAGAACUUGGGGCAUUCUCCCAUUCGGCCAAGGAAUACUGCAAGGCUGAGGAUCCAGCCAUAGUCCCAAGGACAGAGGGAGAGAUGGUUCCCUAAGCCUGCCAAGGCACCAGAAGGUUGUAAGAGCCAGUUCUCCUCCAGACCCUCCUGGGACCCAAGAGGCCAUAUUGCACAGUGACUGAGAACUUUUGUCCUAGAAAACAGGGUAACUGCAUGACCCAACCAGGAGGGGAGAGGAGCAGGGAGAGUUAGAGAGGAGUGUUGUGCUUUUAAAAAGAAGGCAGUAAUCAAGGAUGUGGAGUUCCCUGUAACUUUUGAGCCACCUCUCCAAGGGAUAAUGGUAGCAUCGCCAGGACUUUCACGUAGUUCCAAAAAAAAAAAAAAAAAAAAAAAAUUACCACAUGUACACAUAGAGCAGCACAUAGCAAGGCAAAGAUUUCGUGCAGAGUACCCUUCUGUCCCAACUCCAAUAACCUGCAACCCCUGCCUCACUCCCCUGAACCCCCAAACAAAAAGCUUUAUAUUCUUGGUGGGUAGCAACAUCCAUAGGCCCCUGAGAAUAGAAUUAGAAAUAAGUCAUGAUUUUAAGAAAAACUGUUCAGGACAGAAGGAAUCAAGAGAGGCUUUUUCACUCUCUGCCUAGGAUCUCAUUAGAAAAAUAAAAGAGAAAGAUUAGGCAAUAUAGCAUAAUUUAAGUCCAGGUUUGAAUGCCCCUGAGUAAGAGAGGGGCUGGGGAUGCAGGUGUCCUGGUUAGAAGAGGGAGAGGUUAGAACUCAGCCUCUCUUCUCCAUCCAGGACAGAUCCUGACCUCUCUCAUUCACAGUUGCUAACCUUGCUUGCUCCUUCUCACAACUUCCUGGGGUGCUAGCCAAGCCUCUCCCCCAUCACCUUGACCAGACCCGCCCCCUGAACUUUCCCCCCUCCCAUAGGCAGACACUGGCUCCCAGACUCAAGCGCACAACGAUUCUCUCCAAAGGCACCUGGGGAGGCCACUUCCAAGCAGCUCCCUUUAAGGAUUUUUUUCUUAAAAAAAAUCUUUUGGUUUUUUUUUUUCUCCUCUUUUCUUAAAAAAAAAAAUAAUAUAUAUAUAAAUAGCUCUUCAUUUAAAAUACAGUUCCCCAGGUUGAGGUAUGCAAUGGCCUGUUGUCACGGCAGGCAGAAUGAGUACAGUAGAGUGCCAGGUGGCGGCCACAGGGGAUCUAACUGGAGACCGCCAUGACGUAGUUCUUCGAGGGGCUGCUCCUGCCCAGCAUCAUUUGGUUCUUGCAGGUGAGGAGCCCAUAGGAGGUGGCCACCGGGGCCUCCUCGUACAGGAC
rnacentral:lncRNA from 1 species